rnacentral:rRNA from 1 species
AUUGAACGCUGGCGGCAGGCCUAACACAUGCAAGUCGAGCGAGCGGCGGACGGGUGAGUAAUGUCUGGGAAACUGCCUUAUGGAGGGGGAUAACGACGGGAAAAUGUCGCUAAUACCGCGUACCAUAGGAUGAGCCCAAGUGGGAGUAGGUAGUUGGUGGGGUAAUGGCCUACCAAGCCGACGAUCGCUAGCUGGUCUGAGAGGAUGACCAGCCAAACCGGGACUUAGACACGGCCCGGAUUCCGACGGGAGGCAGCAGUGGGGAAUAUUGCGAAAUGGGGGCAACCUGACGCAGCCAUGCCGGGUGAAUGAAGAAGGCCUGCGGGUUGUAAAGCUCGUUCGGUGACGAGGCGUUAAUCACAGAAGAAGCACCGGCUAACGCCGUGCCAGCAGCCGCGGUAAUAC